rnacentral:rRNA from 1 species
CUCCUUUGACGUUAGCGGCGGACGGGUGAGUAACACGUGGGUAACCUACCUAUAAGACUGGGAUAACUUCGGGAAACCGGAGCUAAUACCGGAUAAUAUUUCGAACCGCAUGGUUCGAUAGUGAAAGAUGGUUUUGCUAUCACUUAUAGAUGGACCCGCGCCGUAUUAGCUAGUUGGUAAGGUAACGGCUUACCAAGGCGACGAUACGUAGCCGACCUGAGAGGGUGAUCGGCCACACUGGAACUGAGACACGGUCCAGACUCCUACGGGAGGCAGCAGGU